AUAGCUAAAAAUCCAAAACAAAAUAAUGAAAUCAUUAGUCUCAAUUUUCUUAUACUAUAUGAAAUCAUUAAUAUGAAAGUUAUAUUAAUAUGAACUUCGCUCGUCUGAAGAUUUGAGGGAAGAGGAAUAAUUUAGGCCAACCAAUGUUACAGAGCAAUUGCGGUUGAAAUAUUAAUAUGAAAGUUGUAUCUCUUAAUUUGUUUUACAUAAAACUUGCAUUUAAUAGUUUUUGAAAUGAAAAAUUGUGUUUCUUGUUUUUAUUUUGUUCAUAUCCAUUUAUUAAUGAUUUACCUAAAUAUUUACAAUUUUUUAUAUCUAAAAAUUAGUAUAUUAAUAUGAAAAAUUGUAAGAAACACAGGAAAAGUCUACUCUGAGAGAUAUAACGGUUACAAGAUUGAACCGGUAUGAAAUUAUAGCAACCAUCGUGUACCAUGAGAUCCAACUUUUAAUGAGACUGCUCUCUUAUGAAAAAGACGCCAUAGAAGGCGGAGAUGAGUGGAGACGAUGCCAUUGUCAAAUACCAAAUAUAUUUGGGAAUACAAUACAACGUCUUUAACUAAAUUGUCGUUAGUUAAAUUUAAAGAACGUCUUUAACCGCCGUGAAGAAAGAGCACAAAGAGUCAAACACGUUAUUGGUUUUAUUAUGAGAACUUGAUUAAUCUAACCUAUUAGGCUAUUAACAAACAACAAAGGAAAUGAGUACAGCCGGUGCAGGAUUCUACAUCGGCCGGGAGGGAAUCUGUGAUAAGAUACCUUCGAGAAAGUGUUGUUGAUGAAAUAGCCUUGUGGCCAGGAGAGAAAAAAAACAGUUUUUUUUAUUGGCAAAACCAAAUUAUGAUUUAAUAGUUUGAUACACGCACAUAUAUGUGUUGAAGAGAUAUAAGUGGAAAAAGAUGCAACUUUCCAAGUCAAAAGUAGUAAUCUAAACUAUAUUAAAAGAGUGAUACGAGGAGUAGAAAGUGUGUUCCACGUCAGAUUAAAAAAUCGGCCAAUUAGAGAACUUUCUGUAGCCACGUCAUCAUCUCCUUAAACGUAGGCGGCUCUGUGUUUUGAGCUUCAUCUCAUCUGAAAAUAGAAGCAAUUAUUGUCUUCUCCCAUCUGUUACAAUAAGAUAUACUCUUCUCCCUUCUCAGAAACGGAAGCGACCUCUCCCCUAGAUCUAGAAAUCAUCAUAUAUUAUUUGCCCUUCAAAUCAGUUAUUCUUCUGAGUAUCAUUCUCUUUUUCUCUGUAAUCUCCUUCGAUAAGUAGAGUCGGGAAGAGGGAUAUGAUUUCUGGAUUGAAUUCAGUGAUUACUUUGAGUGUCCCCACCAAAGAGGUAUCCUACUACUUCUUUAUUCUCCUCUUUCCUGGUCUUCUUUUAAUUGAAGAUUGAUUUCGUGGUGAUUGUUAGGUUAUGGUGCAAGCCACUGUUUCUGUGUUGGAUUUGGAAAGGUUUGUGUCUUGACAAUUCAAAAUUAUCACUUUAAUAGAAAACGUGGGGGGGAGUCGGAGAGGUCAAAGUUCACAUUGUUAUGUGGCUCAGAUCUCUUCUCUUCCUGAUCCUAUACAAGAAAAUUUUGAGGUUAGGUCUUCAGAGAAAUGUGUUACACUGUCCCAUAUCCCAUUUUCUCACUUGAAAGCAGUCCGGUGCAGGUAGGUGGUACAGAUGCGACUCCUCCGUUUUGGGAGUCUAGGAAUGUCAAUAAAAUAAAGAGGACAGUUUAUGGGGGUUGAUAUGCUGCUGCUUUAUUCCAAGGUAAUCUGACCACCGCUUUAAAAAUCGAAUGUUUCAUAAUUUCAUUACCUAUUUUUUUGGACUCCUUUGUAGAAAAAGAGGUCACUCUAACUUGAACUAGAUAGGGACGACACAUGCUCUAUGCGGCGGACCAGUUGGUGCUCGACAUCUGCAACCCCGAACUCAGGGAGAAUGCUCUUCACGAGUUUUCUAAGGUCGUUCAUUAUCUCUCUCUAUGCAGUUAAUUAAACUCCUCUUGCUUAGUGUUGCCUAUGAAUUCUGAUUGUCUUGGUUUUUGUAUUGACAAUCAAUUUUUUUUUACUAGGUUUUGGUUUGUUUUGCUCGGUAAAUCUAUUGUUAAUCUAGGACAAGCUUUCAGAUUUGUAGGAUGAUAUCGUUGAAACUCUAGACAAUUAAAAAGUUAAAUGGUUUUGAUGUUCUGUAAUAAUAUAACAUGUGGUCGUGUGUUUUUAAUUUACUAUCAUUUUUUUUUGAGAAGAGAGAUCUUUCAUGAUUUGACUCUCCUGUUGUGGCCCUCUGUUGGUACCAUUCCUGCUCUUCCACAUGUACUCUUCGUCCAUUAAAGCUGAGUGGAACCUUCGCAUGGUGAAAUAAAGUCGAACUAUCACAAUUACACUUCAGCGGUUGGGAGUGGGAAGAAGGCGAUGCAAGAAGUUAUCUUGAACUGGUAUAAUCAAAUCUCAAAAAUUCAUAACAUAUACCAUCCCAACAACUGGGCUUUACAUCAAUCUCAAAAGUUCUUAGCAUCUUUUUGAACUUUUUGAGAAGGAUAAUUUUAACUUGGACAAGGCAUUGAUGAUUGCACAUCAAUGGAGGAAAGCUCAAGAAUUACUGGUCAGUCACUUUUCACUUCAAUAUCUUAAACAGAGGAGGAAUAUAUGCGAAUGAAAACCUAAGCUCUCAGUACUCAUCCGCUGUAUCAUCCUCUCUUGAUGUUGCUAACACCAGCCUUCUUACUUCUGUUAAUCAUUCGCUGAAACCCAGUAAUGAUGCAUGUUCUAAGAUCAACUCCAUGUUUAUCCCCUGCUGUGAAGACUUGAUAGAGCCCAAGAGUGAUCACAGUCACAAUAUUGUAGAGAUCACAAACAACACAGGGAAAUAUCUUCUUGAUGAAAACUUAGUGGAUAAACCUUCGUGUUCAACGCCCAGGAAAAGACCAAACGACAUACCAAGCAUCGAGUCCAUUGAGGUACUUAGAAUUCCAGUAUCUGAGACUUACUGAGAGCGUUUCAAUAUGGGAAACUGUUGAAGCAGGCCAAUGGUGAUGCAAAGGAGCAGCAACACCUUAUACGUGCUUCCUCUGUCUAUGCAGAAGCUGUGUCGGACUCAAGAUCUCCUCUCUCUGCUGUUAACUGAUACCCAAAGAGGAUUAGUCAUAAAUAAGCCAAGAAAAGAAGGUUAUUAACUUAUUAUUGUGUCACAGUCUACAGAAAGAGUAUUGUUGCAUACAUGUCAACAUAUUUUCUUCGUGGAACUGGUUUGAGGAUUUUUACAAAACACUUUUCUUAGUAUUCUUUAUUUGUUUAGUUAAGAUUUGUAUUGUUUAUUAGUUGGAACAAAAUAAUUUUUUUUAUCUUCUGAA